UACAGAGGUCCCAAGCGUUGUUCGGAUUCACUGGGCGUAAAGGGUGCGUAGGUGGUAGGGUAAGUUCGAUGUGAAAGCUCCGGGCUCAACCCGGAAACGGCAUUGAAUACUAUCCUACUUGAGGGUCGGAAGGGGGACUGGAAUUCUCGGUGUAGCAGUGAAAUGCGUAGAUAUCGAGAGGAACACCGGUGGCGAAGGCGAGUCCCUGGACGAUACCUGACACUGAGGCACGAAAGCUAGGGGAGCAAACAGG
rnacentral:misc_RNA from 1 species